UGUGUCACUGCCAAGCUCCCAUUCCUAGUUCAUCGUUCUGUUCACCUGUUACUCAAAGCCAUCUCAACAGUCUCUUCACAGAGUUCUUUAAAGUCAAGUGCUCCGAAGAGGCUGCGUCCACUAGAGAACCUGACUGGUGAAAUCCUCGGGACUGUGGAGAGAUGUAAUACAGCAAAUCCAGAGCUGCAGAGAUAUGUCACCCUCUACUGGCCUCCACAGGCACCGGGCAUGCACGCGCACAGGAGUGAAGAGGAGCCUCACCAUGUGACUCCAGCUGUUCUGGAAUUCCCUCUGUAGACAGGCUGGCCUCACACCAAGUCCCUUCCUGUUAUGUUAUCUGGAUUUCCAAGCAUAUCCCCCUCCUGCUCCUCCCUUUUUUCUGAGACAGUCAUGCUGGCUUGGAAUUCACUGAGGAGCAGGCCAGUCUUCAAUAUGUAACCUUUUCAAGUGGGACCUCGUGAAAUUAAGAAGCGUCUGACCACACAGUUAAAUGAAGAGACAAGCCACAGAAUGGAAAGGAAUAUUUGCUAAGUAGUCAUCUUUCGCAGGUCUGAUAUCUAGAACACAGAGGGAGGACUGGAGAGGUCAGUGGUGAGGAGAACUUGCUCCCCCAGCACCCUCAUCCUGUGGCUCAUAACCACCCGUGAAUCCCAGUUCCAGGGAAUCUGACGUCUCUGGUCUCCACAGGCACCCACACUCGUGUGCAGGGACACAGACACGGGAACACACACACACACACAGAC